CAAAUCUCACCCAGUGAGCACAAUAAAUUUCUUGCCUGUGAGAAACUUAGCCUGGCUCUCCUUUUCUUUACUGCCCCAAUCCUUUUGUUUGGGGGAAAGGAUGUCCUGAGCUAAUUCCACACAGGCUUUGUGGACUCCACCCCCACUCCAGACCACAGCCAUCAGGACAUUGGGAAAGACAAAUCCUAUCACCACCAAAGGGAAGGUGGCUGGGACCUGAGGGUGGAGUUAAACUGCCAGGUGUGGUAUAAAAACCAAACACGAGGGCCUUCGGGGGCUUGCUCUCUCGCUCGCCUCCUGGCUUCAUGGCUCCAGGCUUGCGGCCAGCUCUCAGAGUGCCCUUUGGGAUUCCAGAUCGGCUUAUCAGAAAGUUAAAUUUGAGCUAAACCAAGGAGCAGAGAACCUGCCACUUUAUAUGGAAGCUUCCAGAGACCUCCAAAGAGGGUGAGGAAGCUGGCCUCCAUGGGCAGGACUGGACAUCCUGGAACAAGAAAAAAAUUAUGGUAACCUCGAAAAGAAGAAACCCCAGAUGGCAGCUGAUAAAACCAACUUUGUUUCUGAAGCCUGCAGGGACUGGAUGUCACACCUUCACUCUGAUUGUAUAUGGCAUAUUCCAACAAAGCCAGCGUGAAAUGCUGUUUGGUUAUCCUGACCUGUGAUGUUAUGCAAAAAUAGGUGAAAUGAUCUGAAAGUGGAUUUAGUUUCCAAAUAUUUUGCUGUAUUGUUGGAGUGAAUGGGGAUCAGCAUAGAUGGCACUUGUUUCUAGAUAAGUUACAUCAGCGUGGACUAAUUGCCAGGCAUGAAGGACGGGCAUACUGGACAUUCCUGGACAAUACUGGUAACUGAUUAUUGCUUCUUUUACAUACCCUAAAACCCUACAAAAUAUUGUCUCCUAAGGCUACACCCUGGGGUCUGCACUUAAAAAAAAAAAAAACAACAACAACAAAAGAAGGAGUCUAGAGGAUCACUUGUCCCCAUAGGUCCUUAUAUGCAGAGCUUGAUUUACAUUUAAAUUAUUGAAUGACAAUGCUUUGGCCUAGCAACUGGUGAGCAACAGCUCAUUCCUGAUUCCUCUGGUCUCAUGGCAAUACAACAACAUUUUAUCCCAGCAGAACCAAGUCUUAGGCCAUUGGUUGUAGAUCACCAUCUGUUGCAAGGACAAAUUUGGCUGGGACUUUAAAACAUUUAAAAUCGGGGAGAGGGUUUGUUUCUGUCUUAUCACUUAUAAAGCCAUGUUCAGUUAGAGCAAUAAAGGACCAGUCUUACUCCAGAGCUCCAGCCAUUAUUGAUACAGCCACCACCUGGGAUGCCACACAUAGGAAUCAAAAUGAAAAAGAGAAUCCCUUCCCAUGUAUUGUGCAGUCCUCUGGAACAUCAGAUCAAGACUCAAUGCCCUUGAGGUUGCUGUGUGCUGACGUGGUGAACAUCAACAGGUCCUCUGGACAUCACAGACUCAAUUGUGGUUUGUUGGGAUAUCAUUUUCUGUAACCCCUAUCCCUUUUAAUGCAAACCUCUCCUGAACAGAUAUUCAAAGACAACUUUAUGGUACAUAGUACAUUCCAUAUUAACCUUGGUCUUGUCAUGGAAUUUAGAGAUAAGUUAUUGCAAAUAUUCGCACAAUUGCAGCAAAAACACAAAUGCCACAAUGGCACAUUUGAAUGACAUUGGGUAAUGACUAUUUCCAACAAAUCCUCAAUGUUAUAAUUUGGAUGUUGUUUAAUAUUGUAUUAUUUUUGUAUAUUUUUACUGUACAGGAACUAAUUUGCACCCGUUAAAUUUUGUAAAACCUUUGAGGAUCAUCUUGCUGUUCUUUAUACUAGCUCUUGUUUAUGACAUCUGCUACUCUGUAGAGUGCUCUCCACAAGCAUAUGAAAAUGCCCUGGAAGUGAAAAUAACAGCACCACUUUAUUCACUAUGAAGGCUUUAUUAAAAAACAAACAAACAAACAAACAUAAAAGGGGGAGAUGUUGGAAACCCCUAAGUCGUGAAGUGCUGAGACAGGAAGCAGGGCAGUAUCAUGAUGGGAAGAUUGGUCAACACUGGCUGGAUGACUGGCCCAUGUCCAGACCAUGAUGUCCUUUCCUUUGUCACCAAAGCUAAGCCUGAGAAGCAAGGGAGUGGAAUAAACCCGAUGACACAGGACCUUGGUGGUGAGUAUGAGCCUGGACCAAGCUGAGAGUGAUUCAUUGUCUGGUGACUAACGGGGGUGGGGGUUGGUGGGGCGGUUUUUCAAUCAACAUGAGUUGCACUGGACACUCGGGAUUCCUGAGCCCAGAAUGUGAGUCAGUUGUCAUGGUUACCCUCUGCUCGCCCAAACCAAAGACCCAUCUCAGCCACCAGCAUAUGCCCUGCCUGUGUGCCCAGGUCUCAUGCCAUUCGGGUUCUUUUGGGUCAAUUCUCCCAAGUCUCUUCCUCACUGUCACAGCCUUGAUUGGUUGAGAGAACACAGACAACUCCUGUCUGGGUGGCCUUUUCUGGGUGGCCUCUUUCAGGCAGGAGGUCGGCAUGCCCAGGCCUUCUUUUCUGGCUACCUCCACGGUCAUGUGCUUGAAGACAAGCUAAGGAGUAGAGUCCCACAUUGGAGUGGACUUCCCGAGUAGCUUUCAGCAGAGGAAAAAAAUGUCAUUUCAUUAUGGUUUUUACUUGGAUUGUAUGACAACCAUGAGAAAAACAAGCCAGUAUUUCAGCUUUCCUGUCUCCAUGGAAGUGUUGUGAGUUUUCUGCUGGCCUGUCCGAGAGUUUGGCUGGAGACAAACCCUGUGAGCCUCAGAGCUUUCACCCUGAGGUUCUCUGUGCCUGAAAUGCCUCUUCCCUCACUUCCUUCUCCAAGAGCCACCUCCUAAGUGGGGCUUCCCAUAUCCCUCUGUUCAGACACACACCCCUCUGUCACCUUCACCUUUCUGCCCCCUCUCCAUCACACCUACUACUCCCUAUAUGACUGACAUGGCUGAUCCCUGCACCACCCCUCAUCCUGACCCCACAGCUCUGUGGCAAAUCAUGCCUGGCAGGCAGUGAGGCAAAUCUCUAGCCAUGAGCUGUUCUUGCUCGCUCCAGGUGGCUGGGCAUUUCUUCCUCCUGAGGGGUCUGGGCUCCCACACCCCCAUCUUGGUAGCCAUGAACACAGAGGUUCUUGCCACCCAUGGGUGUCAUCUCCAUUGUCUUCACAGUGUUGGACAGUUUCCAGGGUGCCGACGGGUCUCCUGGGGAUCCCCAAUCAGUGUGGGAUCUGAACCAGCCGGCUGCUCAGGAAUGGUUAAACAGGGACCUCUGAGUCCUCCUUGCCCAAAUGGCAUCCUGCCAAUGCUGGCCAGUGUUCAACAUCUAGUCCACCCUCCCCUGGUUCUUCCCUAACAGGUUCUCACCUCUCUGCCAUCGGCCACCCUCAGGAGAUGGCUCCUCACUUUCCCUUCCUUCUCAGCUUACCUUCUUCCCAGAUCCAAGGAGAGGGUGCUGCCUGCUGGGUCCUGCUGGACCAGGUUCACCCCCUCCCUUCCAAGCCCGCAGUCCCUCAGGCCCAAGCCAGGACUUCACUCCAAGUCUUGGGGGAGCCCUGACAGGAGAGGACAAGACUCACUCAGAGUGGUGACACCUGCCCCAAAUUCCUGCUGCAUCACCACCGUGUGGAAAUUCAAGGUGAAAAUAGAGGUAAAAAGCCCAUGUAUCCUCCAAAGAUUAUGACAGUGUCAAAGUACUGAGGUCAGUGGUGAAGUCUUGAGUGUCCUUAAGGUCUUAAGUGGAAAUGUUGGUGAGGAUGUCCAUUUUGUGGGUCUGUAUGCAGUGUCAUUUCAAAAUUGUUCAGAUGGGUUGAGCUUAUAGUAGAACAUUCUUUGUCUUCAUAGCAACCUUGAAAAUCGCCAUGUCAAAAGCAAUAAAGUACAUGGAUAGACACUGCAAGAGAUAUCUGCAGCAUCUUCAUGAUGCUCUUUCAUGGGUGGCUGACAUCAAUUCAUUAAGGGUGAACUGUUUUCAGAUAAAGAUAACCCCCCCUUUAAAAGAAGGGACUUUAAGGGCUCCCCUGGUGGCGCAGUCGGUUGAGCACAGCUCUGUGAAGCUGUCCGCAGCCUCUGCAGCACUGUUUGGAUCCCAGCCAGCCAGCAAAGUUCCCACAUGGGAUGACAGACCUCUCCUGUAUCGCCCACUGCUCCCCUCAGCGGUGUAUUUCAUCAGUCUCUCUGUUCUGUUCCCUGCUCUAUCUCUGGUGAAUCCUCCCACCCUCCCACACAUCUGGCCUGUACACCGGUUCUUGUAUAAGUAAAUCUUUAAAAGGAGGGGAUUUAGAUAUUGUUGGCAUACAUAUGGUUCAUUGAAACGUCACUGGUCAUUCCCUGAGGUUUUAUAUCCUUCCUCAGUUUUUCAUUGGAGUGUUUGCACCCAAGCAAUUGACAGUUGGCAUGCCUGCCUGGAAGUCAGCCCACGGCAGCACUUCCACAAAAAUGGAACUCUAUUUUGCUGCCACCAUCUUUUUUUUGUUGACUGUGGAAUCUCUGCUACCAUCAUCAGGAUUUGAGCUCUAGGGGGAGACAGAAAAUGACAGCCUGCUGGCUGGCAGGACACUGAGGGUGGUUAUCAACGUUGUGCAAGUAGACUUGGAACACAGGAAUUUCAUUCUAUUUUAUCCCAUUAUUUUUUGUGGGUUUUAUUCCUUCUGUUUUUGCCCCUUGAGCCUCUCCUUCUCAGCCUUUUCCCACCCACUAUGUGUUUACGUCUCAUCACUGCUUGCUGACGACGGUGUGGAAGUGGUGGAGAUGAGGCAGCAAGGGUGGGGUGGGCUGGUUGUGGAGAGCUCUGCUCGUGUCAUUUUGGGUCCUGGAGGGACAUGGACAUUCCUGGGGUCAGAAUAUUGCUGAGUGUGACCCUGUGGGUGACCGGGGCUCCAAAAUGAAAGUGCAUCCCCCGAGUGUGCUCCCAGCUCCUUCCUGCUGCACUGAUCAACCCCUGGGGUGGGUUUUCUGGGCUCUCUGUUCUGUUCAUUGAUCUGUGUGUUUUAUUUUUGUGGAGAUUUAUGAUGUAAUUGGGGAAUGUAUUGUAAACUUUUCUGGGGCUGACACCUCCCUCCCCACCCCAGGUCUAGCAGGCAGGAAGGCAGAGUCGUGUCCCAGUCUCCCAGGGUGCAGGUUCUGACACAGUGGGUUGCGUGGUGCCUGGGCUCUGCAUUUCUCACAUGGGUUCUGAGAUUCUGCCUCUGCUGGUCAUGGCCUAACAUGUGAAGGCUGAGGUGUCACUUACCUGUUGUGCAGCUGACGUGGCCAUUCAGAGCCUGGAAGAGGAAAAUUUCACCCCUGGAAAUUGCCUUAUCAGGCGACUUUAGACUCUCCCUUGAAUAGAAUCCAGGCUUUCCUGAGCCUUGAGUAACCAGGAGCAACAUGGCCUGCCACAUUCUGGCUACAAGUAUUUGAUUUUCUAACAUGGUUAUUAUUAACCUAUUCAGUGUAUUGAAACCUGUGACCAUCUCUGCAUCACUAAGGGACACCCCUGAGAUUCCUGCAGCAGGGACAGCUGUACGCUAUCACCAAUGGGGAUGGAAGAUCCUUCAUGGGGAAUCAUCUGAGACACUGAAGGGCCCAUUCUUUUUUUUUAAGAUUUUUUUUAUUUAAAUAUUUUAUUUUAUAUAAUUCUUACAUCUUUUUUUUUCAUCUUUGCACAAUGUAUGCAUUUUCAUUUUGGUUAUAUUCCCUAUACAAUUGCACCUCCCCCCUUAUUUUGACUCUAGUCCUUCCUUUCCCUGCCCCUCCCCCCCAGUGUGUCUAUGGUUUACAGUUUCUUGUUGAUUUUGAUUUUUACUUUAUAUUGAUUAGUCUUUUUCCUGGUCUCUUAUUUAGGUUUUCUAAAUUCCUGCUAUAAGGGAGACCAUCCGGUAUUUUUCUUUUUCUUUCUAACUUAUUUCACUGAGCAUGAUUGAAGGGCCAAUUCUUAAGUUCUUGAGAUGUUUUCUCUAUUGAUAUCUGGUGCAAAGAGGAUCCCUCCUGUUUUAGAGAGUGAAUGAGCUACAAUCACCCAUUCAACUGGAAAGUGGACAUUUUGUAGAUAAUCUACUUACUUUUUAAUAGUUAUAAUCUGUUAAAGUGAUAUUACCUACAUCCUUUCAUGCUUCCUUUGCACAGAGGUUGAACUCUUCAGGUCACGAGAAAUAAAUUGAUGUUCAUUGAGCACUUGUUGGAGAUUACCUGACCCUGUGCAAGAAGUUGGUUACUUAUGUGAUCUCAUUGAUGACACUAUAGAGACAUUAUUCCUAUUCCAUAGUAGAAAAUCCUAUGUUCUAAAAGACAAUGAACUUGUGUAAGAUCAUACAAAUAAGGACAAAGGUCAGGGAUUUUGUCCGGACCAGCCGGGCAGAUCAGCGCGGUACCGGGGGAAGGAAGCAGGGUAUUGGUAUAGGACAGGGGUACACAAGGAGUGGAGACAAAGCCAGGAUCAUCGCCUGUCUCAUUUAUUCAGGAAUGUGUACAAGGUUAUAUAGGGUUCAGAGGAGGAGGUCUCUCGUUAUCUCGAACAAGGAGAGACCACCAAUGCAAACAAGCCACAAGGAGCAAGCAGGGGGCAGGGUUCAUUCGUCACAAUAGGAAACUUGAAACCUUCACUCGAGCUAACAUUCAGUACCUGCUUCAGGCAAGAACCCGGAUGUUCAGGUCUGGUCCCCGACAGGAUUUUUGUACUCCAUAUUUUUGACCGAAUCAGAAAUUGUCAAAUGAGGCUAAACGGUAAACCCGCUCAAGGCCAGGGGGAGGGGAGAAUUGUGGGAAACCCUGUGCAUCUUCAGAACAGCUCCAUGGGUGUUUGAGGUCCUUCAUAAGGAGGGAGCCUCAAGUUAAAUGAAAAAAAAAAUAAUGUAUAAUUGUGUUACAUGUGCAUGCUGACUUUAAUAUUGCACAUGAUUUAUUUGAUAGUUAUAGAAAAAACUCUAAUGCCAAAUGUGAUUGCUACUCAUAAGAGACUGCCUUUCAAAAUAGGCUUUUCUGUAAUUAUUCCCAUGCAGCAGGCUAGCUGCUGUACCUACCAGAGUGAAUUCCUGGAGAUCUAGAACAAUUGGUAAGAAAGGGAUUCCUCAGCAGCGCCUGCAAUAUUAUUCAGGAUAAGACCCCCCUUAAUUGUUAAUGUUUUGAUCUAUCUAAUCCAUACAAGUGGGAAACAUAUUAGAAACAGUGACUAGUGUCCUCAGGAUGUUGGUAUUCUUGGUGAUUGUUUUGUUAUUCAUGUUUCCUGUGUUGAUAAAUUUCUCCGUGAACUUAUGUCAUUUUGUGAUUAGAUUAAAAAAGGUUAUUUACAUAGUUCUAAAGUUUAGAUUCUUGGCUAUCACUCUUGGUAAUUCUCUUUCAGUAUGAAGAGCACAGAUCCAUUCUCUGAAAUGAUCUUGAUUAAGUUUGCCAUUACAAUGAAUCAAAUGUAAAUUGAGUGUGAAGAUAUAUGUCCUUCUUUAAAAAGAGAAUCUCGAGGGCCUCACUGGUGGCGCAGCAGUUGAACACUGGGCUGCGAAGCUGUCUGCAGCUUCUGUAGCACUGGUUUGAUCCCCGGUCAGCGGGCAAUGGUCCCAAAUGGUGCACCGAACUUUCCUGCCUGCCCGCUACUCCCCUCAGCAGUAUAUUUCAUCAGUCUGCCUGUUCUGCUCCUGUACAGGUGGAUUCUCUCACAGAAUCUCUCCCGCAAUUUUGACUGUACCCAGUGCUUGUAUAAAAAAAUAAAUAUGUCUUUAAAAGAAAGAUAAAAAAGAUAACCUGAAGAUGUGGGCAGCUCUCCUGCCUGCCUAUGACUGUGCGGGUGUUUCUUUUCACAAACGUUUUUGUUUGCAUCUCUUUCUUUUGCUUAUGUCUGUGAACUGUCCUGUACUUACCUUCACUUUUAAAUUGUCUUUUGGAUAUAAACAAUAUGCUAAACAAUUCUAUGGAGAUAAAAUAGGUCCAGUUCAUUGUGAUACAUGUCCUUAAACAUAUUGUGACAAACAUUUCUCUAUUCCAGAACCAGCUGUGAUCACCUUCAUUAGAUUUGCCAUAGUGGGCAUAGAGCCAGCUCCAAACAGCAGCCUUAGCAAAAUAUUUUUUUUUAUUUAAUUGGUAUACUUACACUGCACCAAAUAAAAGGUAGUGCAGGCACACCUUGGAGAUAUUUUUGGUUCAUUUCCUGAAUACCACAACAAACCUAAUAUUGCAUAAAUCAAGUCACUAUUUUUUUGUUGCUUUCCUAGUGCGAAUAAUUUUUUUUAACCUGUAGUGUUUACUAUUAAGUGUGCAAUGAUAUUUUGUCUAAUGUGAAAAUACCCUAAUGAGAUAUCAUUGAGACAUGAGGUGAGUAUAUACUUUUUUUUGGAAAAUAGUGCUGCUGGACUUACCACAGUCAAGGCCACCACACACCUUCAAUUUGUUAAAAGAGGUUAUCUGACAGGUGUGAAAAUGUGAAGCAAGCAGGAUGGGGGAUGCCUUUAUACACACUUCUUAGAAUGAUUCUUUGGGAUUUAAUAAAGUAUACACCCCUGGAUAAGUGGACUACAACUUAAUGAUGACGUCUGUGCAUAAAUUUUUCAUCAGUUAUGUGCCGGGGACUAGCCUCCGGCAAAAUACCGUGUCAGGGGUUCCUGAAAGGAUGAGACGGCCUCAGUGAAAACGAAUGAACUGAAACUUAGGGACUGAGGGGAAGGGAAUGAGGAGAAACCGACACUUGGUGAGGUGUUAGUAUCUUCUGCCGAAAGUUUCAGCAGGUUCUUUAUUUAUAAAUUUUUUGCAAGCAUUGCGAUUACAUUAUCAAGUGCAUAGAAACAAAGCAGAAACAAUUAGUGCAUCUCUUUUUCUGUGCUCUCAGCAAGAAGGCAACCUUCAAGGUUAAUAAAAAACUAAGUCUUACACUAAAAUUCAUUGUUUCAGCUAAACAAUAACCUAAAUCAAUUGAAAGCCACCUGUACAUCUCUACCAGCUAAAGCCUAAGCAAAGAAAAAACUUUUCUUAUUCUCAUGGCCUUCAUACCAGGGGCCGGCUGCUACUCAGCUAUCAGAACUUCCUCUACCUAGAAACUCCUUAACUCAAAUAGCUUCAUUUAAGAACUUUCCCAAGAAACUUCAAGGGAAGGCAAAAGAAGGACUUAAAAUAAUAGUUGUAUUGUAAUGCUUGUCAGACAUGUUCAAUAAACCAUCUCCCAUUGUCAAGUGAGCCAAAUUGUUUAAUAAUUAGUUUUUAAGAGAUAAUUUUCUGUGCCAUUUAUUUGCAGUAUACUGAUGCAUAUAAUGUAGUGCCUGAUGUACUUUUUGGGAAAUUUUUCUCCUUUUAUGCCCAAGAACAAAAAGUGAAGGGAUGUUAGAUCUUCAGCCCCACGGUGUGAGGCACAAGGAAUCUUCGGCCCCACGGUGUGAGGCCCUUUAGCUUUGGCCCCACGGUGUGAGGCCCUUUGUGCUUCACUGCUUGCCAGUAUUUUAUCUGGCUGGGGCAACAAGGCCUCCUGCAGCGGUUAUGUCAGCACGGGGGAGUGUGUUUUCUUUUCCAUGAUAGAAAGUUCUAUGAACACACAAAGUAGUGAACAAGGGUUAGCCAAGUGCUUGCUGUCUGCCAGGGACUGUGCUAUACACACAGCCUUCUUAAAAUUUAUUGUGGCCUUUUAAAAAUUUAAAAACCUUAUAGCUACCAUUGGAUGAAUAUCAGUUGUAAGACAGUGGUAAGUAGAAAAUAGGGGAUUUAGUUCUGAUUAUGUUAUUGAAAAGCUACAGAGGAAACACAUAUGACUUGACUUCUGGCUAAAUUGUUCCUCAGGCUGUAAUCCAUGUGUCCACAGUGAGGAAGCCAAUACUCCCUGGCAACACUCUGAUCCUUUCGCUCCCCAAACUGGACACUACUGUCAACAUUUGGGAUGAUGGUACCAUUGCUGUGCUUUGUUGAUUUGAAUCAUUGUUGCUAUUUUAGAUUUUUUUUUCUAUUUAUGCAUUUGUAUUUACUUAUGCAUACAAGAACUCUGCCACUUUCUAAUUCAAAUUUUGUUUUUCCUUCUAUUUAAAUAUUUGGUUUAUUUUUGUGUAGAAGCACUGGAGUGUAGGCCAGAGGUGUGGGGGGAUGAGAGGAUUCACCAGAGAUAGAGUGUGGAUCAGAACAGACAGAUCUACUGAAAUACACUGCUCAAGGGAGCAGCAGGCAAGACAGGAUAUGUCUGCUGUGCCCUAUGUGGGUCAGCUCCCUGGCUGGGGAUCGAAAUCAGGCAAUCUUGUGGGCCACUGUGGUGAUAGUGCUGAGACGUAAGCCCUAGGUUACCAGGGAGGCUCUCAAAGUUUGUUUUGAUAUUGGAUAAGCACAAUUAUUUGUUAAAUCAUUUUAAUGUUAUGAAAUACAAUUAUAAAUAUUUAAAAGUUAUAUAUGAAGGUGAAUGAAAAAUAUUUUCAUUAUGAAUGCGAUUGUGGGCAUUGUCUCAGAGACUUGUAAAUGUUCUCUCUGAGAACUGUAGAAUUGGUAGUAUUCUUUAGAUGCAGAUUUUGCAGUUUGAAUCCAAUUGAAAAAUUGGCAUCUUUGGUAUAAUGGAAG